UGUUUGAUGUUCUAACGUGGACCCGUGAUCCGGGUUGCGGACAGUGUCUGGUGGGUAGUUUGACUGGGGCGGUCUCCUCCUAAAGAGUAACGGAGGAGCACGAAGGUUGGCUAAUCCUGGUCGGACAUCAGGAGGUUAGUGCAAUGGCAUAAGCCAGCUUGACUGCGAGCGUGACGGCGCGAGCAGGUGCGAAAGCAGGUCAUAGUGAUCCGGUGGUUCUGAAUGGAAGGGCCAUCGCUCAACGGAUAAAAGGUACUCCGGGGAUAACAGGCUGAUACCGCCCAAGAGUUCAUAUCGACGGCGGUGUUUGGCACCUCGAUGUCGGCUCAUCACAUCCUGGGGCUGAAGUAGGUCCCAAGGGUAUGGCUGUUCGCCAUUUAAAGUGGUACGCGAGCUGGGUUUAGAACGUCGUGAGACAGUUCGGUCCCUAUCUGCCGUGGGCGCUGGAGAACUGAGGGGGGCUGCUCCUAGUACGAGAGGACCGGAGUGGACGCAUCACUGGUGUUCGGGUUGUCAUGCCAAUGGCACUGCCCGGUAGCUAAAUGCGGAAGAGAUAAGUGCUGAAAGCAUCUAAGCACGAAACUUGCCCCGAGAUGAGUUCUCCCUGAGACUUUAGGUCUCCUGAAGGAACGUUGAAGACGACGACG
rnacentral:rRNA from 1 species